rnacentral:rRNA from 1 species
AUUGAACGCUGGCGGCAGGCCUAACACAUGCAAGUCGAGCGGAUGAAGGGAGCUUGCUCCUGGAUUCAGCGGCGGACGGGUGAGUAAUGCCUAGGAAUCUGCCUGGUAGCGGGGGAUAACGUCCGGAAACGGGCGCUAAUACCGCAUACGUCCUGAGGGAGAAAGUGGGUGAUCUUCGGACCUCACGCUAUCAGAUGAGCCUAGGUCGGAUUAGCUAGUUGGUGGGGUAAAGGCCUACCAAGGCGACGAUCCGUAACUGGUCUGAGAGGAUGAUCAGCCACACUGGAACUGAGACACGGUCCAGACUCCUACGGGAGGCAGCAGUGGGGAAUAUUGGACAAUGGGCGAAAGCCUGAUCCAGCCAUGCCGCGUGUGUGAAGAAGGUCUUCGGAUUGUAAAGCACUUUAAGUUGGGAGGAAGGGCAGUAAGUUAAUACCUUGCUGUUUUGACGUUACCAACAGAAUAAGCACCGGCUAACUUCGUG